rnacentral:rRNA from 1 species
UACGUAGGGCGCAAGCGUUAUCCGGAAUUAUUGGGCGUAAAGAGCUCGUAGGCGGUUUGUCGCGUCUGCCGUGAAAGUCCGGGGCUCAACUCCCGGAUCUGCGGUGGGUACGGGCAGACUAGAGUGAUGUAGGGGAGACUGGAAUUCCUGGUGUAGCGGUGAAAUGCGCAGAUAUCAGGAGGAACACCGAUGGCGAAGGCAGGUCUCUGGGCAUUAACUGACGCUGAGGAGCGAAAGCAUGGGGAGCGAACAGG